AGUGAACGCUGGCGGUAGGCCUAACACAUGCAAGUCGAACGGCAGCACAGUAAGAGCUUGCUCUUACGGGUGGCGAGUGGCGGACGGGUGAGGAAUACAUCGGAAUCUACUUUUUCGUGGGGGAUAACGUGGGGAAACUUACGCUAAUACCGCAUACGACCUACGGGUGAAAGCAGGGGAUCUUCGGACCUUGCGCGAUUGAAUGAGCCGAUGUCGGAUUAGCUAGUUGGCGGGGUAAAGGUCCACCAAGGCGACGAUCCGUAGCUGGUCUGAGAGGAUGAUCAGCCACACUGGAACUGAGACACGGUCCAGACUCCUACGGGAGGCAGCAGUGGGGAAUAUUGGACAAUGGGCGCAAGCCUGAUCCAGCCAUACCGCGUGGGUGAAGAAGGCCUUCGGGUUGUAAAGCCCUUUUGUUGGGAAAGAAAAGCAGCAGGUUAAUACCCCGCUGUUCUGACGGUACCCAAAGAAUAAGCACCGGCUAACUUCGUG
rnacentral:rRNA from 1 species